UGAAAAUAAAAUAAAGCAAAUUGAAGAGAGAAUGAACAAAACAAGUUCUGGAUGUUGAAACAUAUUAUUUCGUCUUUGCUGGUAAAUGAUCUUGUCCAGCUCAUGGAUAAGCUGCAAAACAUAAGCAUAUCUACCCUUCUUAGGAGGGAUAGGUGGCUGUCAUUGCAGUAUGAAUAUACAGUUUCAGAGUUUGAGAUCUGCAGCUCCUGCCAGAUGACCAGAAGGAACAGAAUUACUGGUUGUGGGGAGCCUGAGAAGAACAGCUUUUCUGAGCUGUACAUCACACUGGAGGUUUCCAGAACUCUAUUAGUUAACACCAACCAAGCUAUAGGAAAAGGAAAAAGAUGAAGAGGCAUCAUGUAACAGUUCAACAUGUAACAACCAAGCCAUUAAAUAAUGCCCGUGAUUACAGGAGAAGGAAAGGCCCCAAGAAUUGACAUUAAGUUUGGAAAGGCAACCUACAACUAAAUAAAGAUCUCUUGAAGAGACUAAAACUCAAAAGCAGAAAACGUGUUACUGUCACUAACGUCUGCAUAUAUCUCUGUGCACAAGAAGCAACUAAAAGUAUGGUGUGGUCUACAACAGUUUUAUAACAAGAAUUUCUUCUUAACUGCAUUCAAUGAAAAACUUUGCAAAUGCUCAGCAGUCAGAAUGCAGUAUAAAUCUACACUUGCUAUAAAAUUACAGAUCAGGACAACCUCCUAUAUUUGUAAAACAAAUGGAAUCAAAAGAAAUUAUUUAAUCCUUGUGCUUUACAAGCUUUUCUCCUGCGCACUUCAUGUGAGUUUCUUAUGUUUUCUUAAAUAGACAGUACUGUUGACAUGUACUCUUUAGAGCUUACCUUUUUUAUUUUUCAGUGCUGAGCACAUGUAUUCCUUUGUAUUUCAACUGCAUUUAAAUGAACAGAAUGCUCAUCUGAUUACUGCUUUCAAUGUUAGAAGCUAUUUGUGUGUGCAUAUAUCCAACUGCUGUAAACGCUUAUUAAGUAUUUUGUCCUAAGUUUUAUAGACAGCUUUCUGAUAC